rnacentral:rRNA from 1 species
UACGUAGGGGGCUAGCGUUGUCCGGAUUUAUUGGGCGUAAAGAGCGUGUAGGCGGCCAGGUAGGUCUGCUGUGAAAACUCGAGGCUCAACCUCGAGACGUCGGCGGAAACCAUCUGGCUAGAGUCCGGAAGAGGAGAGUGGAAUUCCUGGUGUAGCGGUGAAAUGCGCAGAUAUCAGGAAGAACACCCGUGGCGAAGGCGGCUCUCUGGGCCUGACCUGACGCUGAGGAGCGAAAGCGUGGGGAGCGAACAGG